CCGCUCUUAACUCAGUUGGUAGAGUGGCAGACUGUAACGGUUACGGUGAUCUGUAUGUCCCCGGUUCGAAUCCGGGAGGGCGGA